AACGACUCUCGGCAACGGAUAUCUCGGCUCUCGCAUCGAUGAAGAACGUAGCGAAAUGCGAUACUUGAUGUGAAUUGCAGAAUCCCGUGAACCAUCGAGUCUUUGAACGCAAGUUGCGCCCGAGGCCAUUAGGCCGAGGGCACGUCUGGCUGGGUGUCACACAACG
rnacentral:rRNA from 1 species